UGAUGUUAGCGGCGGACGGGUGAGUAACACGUGGGUAACCUGCCUGUAAGACUGGGAUAACUCCGGGAAACCGGGGCUAAUACCGGAUGGUUGUUUGAACCGCAUGGUUCAGACAUAAAAGGUGGCUUCGGCUACCACUUACAGAUGGACCCGCGGCGCAUUAGCUAGUUGGUGAGGUAACGGCUCACCAAGGCGACGAUGCGUAGCCGACCUGAGAGGGUGAUCGGCCACACUGGGACUGAGACACGGCCCAGACUCCUACGGGAGGCAGCAGUAGGGAAUCUUCCGCAAUGGACGAAAGUCUGACGGAGCAACGCCGCGUGAGUGAUGAAGGUUUUCGGAUCGUAAAGCUCUGUUGUUAGGGAAGAACAAGUGCCGUUCAAAUAGGGCGGCACCUUGACGGUACCUAACCAGAAAGCCACGGCUAACUACGUGCCAGCAGCCGCGGUAAUACUGUAGGUGGCAAGCGUUGUCCGGAAUUAUUGGGCCGUAAAGGCUCGCAAGCGGUUUCUUAAGUCUGAUGUGAAAGCCCCCGGCUCAACCGGGGAGGGUCAUUGGAAACUGGGGAACUUGAGUGCAGAAGAGGAGAGUGGAAUUCCACGUGUAGCGGUGAAAUGCGUAGAGAUGUGGAGGAACACCAGUGGCGAAGGCGACUCUCUGGUCUGUAACUGACGCUGAGGAGCGAAAGCGUGGGGAGCCGAACAGGAUUAGAUCCCUGGUAGUCCACGCCGUAAACGAUGAGUGCUAAGUGUUAGGGGGUUUCCGCCCCUUAGUGGUGCAGCUAACGCAUUAAGCACUCCGCCUGGGGAGUCGGUCGCAAGACUGAAACUCAAAGGAAAUUGCGGGGGCCCGCACAAGCGGUGGAGCAUGUGGUUUAAUUCGAAGCAACCCGAAGACCCUUACCAGGUCUUGACAUCCUCUGACAAUCCUAGAGAUAGGACGUCCCCUUCGGGGGCAGAGUGACAGGUGGUGCAUGGUUGUCGUCAGCUCGUGUCGUGAGAUGUUGGGUUAAGUCCCGCAACGAGCGCAACCCUUGAUCUUAGUUGCCAGCAUUCAGUUGGGCACUCUAAGGUGACUGCCGGUGACAAACCGGAGGAAGGUGGGGAUGACGUCAAAUCAUCAUGCCCCUUAUGACCUGGGCUACACACGUGCUACAAUGGACAGAACAAAGGGCAGCGAAACCGCGAGGUUAAGCCAAUCCCACAAAUCUGUUCUCAGUUCGGAUCGCAGUCUGCAACUCGACUGCGUGAAGCUGGAAUCGCUAGUAAUCGCGGAUCAGCAUGCCNCGGUGAAUACGUUCCCGGGCCUUGUACACACCACCCGUCACACCACGAGAGUUUGUAACACCCGAAGUCGGUGAGGUAACCUUUUAGGAGCCAGCCGCCGAAGGUGGGACAGAUGAUUGGGGUGAAGUCGUAACAAGGUAGCCGUAUCGGA
rnacentral:rRNA from 1 species